CAAGGAAAAAUUGGUGGAUUUCAAGUAAUCAAGCAAUCAAAGGUGGUGAGCUAUUUGAUAAGGAUAAAGAGAUUACACCAAAGACCGGGACUAGGAGUAUUUCUACUCCUGAUACUUUGACGGGUUUUCGUGGAUCAAUCUAUUAGAGGGGCACGGUA